rnacentral:rRNA from 1 species
AUUGAACGCUGGCGGCAGGCCUAACACAUGCAAGUCGAACGGUAACAGGAAGAAGCUUGCUUCUUUGCUGACGAGUGGCGGACGGGUGAGUAAUGUCUGGGGAACUGCCUGAUGGAGGGGGAUAACUACUGGAAACGGUAGCUAAUACCGCAUAACGUCGCAAGACCAAAGAGGGGGACCUUCGGGCCUCUUGCCAUCGGAUGUGCCCAGAUGGGAUUAGCUAGUAGGUGGGGUAACGGCUCACCUAGGCGACGAUCCCUAGCUGGUCUGAGAGGAUGACCAGCCACACUGGAACUGAGACACGGUCCAGACUCCUACGGGAGGCAGCAGUGGGGAAUAUUGCACAAUGGGCGCAAGCCUGAUGCAGCCAUGCCGCGUGUAUGAAGAAGGCCUUCGGGUUGUAAAGUACUUUCAGCGGGGAGGAAGGGAGUAAAGUUAAUACCUUUACUCAUUGACGUUACCCGCAGAAGAAGCACCGGCUAACUCCGUG